rnacentral:sRNA from 1 species
GCUGGGUGUGGUGGUGCACACCUGUAAUCCCAGCUACUCGGGAAGCUGAGGCAGGAGAAUGGCUUGAACCCAGGAGUCAUUGGUUGUGGUGAGCUGAGAUCAUGCCAUUGCACUCCAGCCUGGGCAACAAGAGUGAAACUCCAUUAAAAAAAAAUUAGCCGGGCGCGGUGGCUCACGCCUGUAAUCCCAGCACUUUGGGAGGCCGAGGCGGGCGGAUCACAAGGUCAGGAGAUUGAGACCAUCCUGGCUAACACGGUGAAACCCUGUCUCU